GACGAACGCUGGCGGCGUGCUUAACACAUGCAAGUCGAACGGAAAGGCCCUGCUUUUGUGGGGUGCUCGAGUGGCGAACGGGUGAGUAACACGUGAGUAACCUGCCCUUGACUUUGGGAUAACUUCAGGAAACUGGGGCUAAUACCGGAUAGGAGCUCCUGCUGCAUGGUGGGGGUUGGAAAGUUUCGGCGGUUGGGGAUGGACUCGCGGCUUAUCAGCUUGUUGGUGGGGUAGUGGCUUACCAAGGCUUUGACGGGUAGCCGGCCUGGGAGGGUGACCGGCAAAAUGGGAAUGGAGAAACGGCCAGAACCCAAAGGGGGGGAAGAGGGGGGAAAAAUGGAAAAAGGGGGGAAGGCCGGAGGAAGCAAGGCGGGGGGGGGAUGACGGCCUUCGGGUUGUAAACCGCUUUCGCCUGUGACGAAGCGUGAGUGACGGUAAUGGGUAAAGAAGCACCGGCUAACUACGUG
rnacentral:rRNA from 1 species